ensembl:lncRNA LRRC77P leucine rich repeat containing 77, pseudogene
GUUGUUUAUGUAAGAAUUUCAAGGCCACAACUCCAUAUUUGAAGUAAAGUGCUCAUAAAAUUAAUUGCAAGGAAAUCCAUCACUAUGAUUCAACUUCUGAAGAGAGAUUUGCUAGGAAAAAUAAAAAGAUAUAUAAAUUUCAGUGAUGCUGAAGAAAAAAGCCUGGAGACAUUGAACUAAGAUCAAAUUUAAUGUAUUAAAUAUGGUAGAAAGAAGAGAGAAUGAAAAAUAAUGUUAACAAUCUAGGUGAGGAAUUGCUGAGGAGACAAAUUAAGUAAAUCCUGUGGAAGGAAAGAAGAAAGGAGGAAAGAGGAUUGGAUGGAAGAAUCUCCACUUCUCAUAGGUGUAGUCCUUCCUUAGCCUGCUUUUUAAUGAGUGCUGCUAAAGCCCUUAGCCUGCCUGUUUACCCUUGGAGUGGAGCAAUGAACUGAAGAUAUUUGAGUGAGUUCAAGAGAGACUCAGAAGAGAAGAAUUGGAGGCAGCAAACAUAGACAGCACUUUUAAUGCUUUUCUCAUAUGCUGUAAGACAUGAAAGCAAUCUAUUGGGAUGAAAGCUGAAAGGAGAAGCGGGACAAGAGAAGUGAAUCCGUGGAAGACCCCCAAAAGAGGCUGCAGAUUCUUAGUGGACAGCUCUCAUAUCCCCUCCAGGGAAAAUGAUGAAAAAUGUCUUCAGAAAAAUAGCUUUAUGAAGGCAAGAGGACUUUUUGCACCUGCAAGACAUGUCUGAAAGCUCCUCAGGUCAAAACACAAGUAGUCAAGAGAUUUGUCCAUCUAAUUCAUCAUACUACUCUGAUCCAAGUGAGACCCACACUGGGUCAGCUCCAUCAAGGAGAAGAACAUUCCACCCACGUUUGGAUUCUGGAAUAUCAUCCUUGCUUCCAUCAGAUUCUUGUAAGUACCUCACUUGGCACAAGGUAGACAUGACGUUCAAGGAAGUCAACUGCGUUGCCCAAGAGUAAGAGAAGGAAUCUCUGAAGAAGAGCAACUUUUCAGACAGGUAGAGUGUGCCUUGCUCCCAAGGAAAAGAGUUCUUGAAAAAAACAAAUGGGAAACAUGGCUACAAGAAAACUGGGAAGACUGCAAGAAUUUGAACAUUUCAUUUCAGGGUUUGGGGGAUCCUUACCAAGUUGAAAAUUUUAACAGAAUUCUUAGAAGACUAAUUCGAGUUGAAACCCUCUGGUUAGUGGAUAAUUCACUGGUGGACUUAAGUGCCAUAAGAUUGCCAAGGUAUCUGCUCUGUAGCAUGUCUAGUGAACAGGUUAAAGUUAAGUCUUUUCUAUUUGGAUACAUGUGAUCAUUGGCUGUACAUACUGCACCUGGCCCCCUGUGGUCAGGUCUUAAAGAUGACACUUUGCACUAAAGUGGCACAUACGGCAAGGCCAAAAGAGAAAUUUAUAUAUCAGAAUGUCAUACUUUAGAGGGAAACAUCUAUUUUUAAAAUUAAUAUUUUAUUACCAAUUUUUAGGAAAGUUAUUUGUAUGAGCAGAAAAGUUUGCCAUUUUCCUUGUGUUAUAAACUAGAAAAUGCAAUUACCUGACAUAUACAUUAUGGUUUAAGAAAUUAAUUUUUAGUUAGUCAUAUUUACUGAACACCUAUGGGGAAAGACUUUACAAGGUAGUUGACAGUAGUAACCUUUAGGGUAACAUUCUGUUAUUGGAGUGGAGGCUGGUUAUCAGAUUAAAGACAGAAAUAAACUAAAAAUAAAAUAUA